rnacentral:rRNA from 1 species
UAGCAUGCUAGUCGCACGAGUUCAGACUCGUGGCGAAUAGCUCAGUAACACGUGGCCAAACUACCCUUCGGAACACAAUACCCUCGGGAAACUGAGGCUAAUAGUGUAUAUCGUACCACCACUGGAAUGAGUGGUACGCCAAACGCUCCGGCGCCGAAGGAUGUGGCUGCGGCCGAUUAGGUAGACGGUGGGGUAACGGCCCACCGUGCCAAUAAUCGGUAUGGGUCAUGAGAGUGAGAACCCAGAGACGGAAUCUGAGACAAGAUUCCGGGCCCUACGGGGCGCAGCAGGCGCGAAACCUUUACACUGCACGACAGUGCGAUAGGGGGAUCCCAAGUGCACAGGCAUAGCGCCUGUGCUUUUCGGCACCCUAAGGCGGUGCCAGAAUAAGGGCUGGGCAAGACCGGUGCCAGCCGCCGCGGUAAUACCGGCAGCCCAAGUGAUGGCCGAUCUUAUUGGGCCUAAAGCGUCCGUAGCUGGCCGCGCAAGUCCAUCGGGAAAUCCACCUGCUCAACAGGUGGGCGCCCGGUAGAAACUGCGUGGCUUGGGACCGGAAGGCGCGACGGGUACGUCCGGGGUAGGAGUGAAAUCCCGUAAUCCUGGACGGACCGCCGAUGGCGAAAGCACGUCGCGAGAACGGAUCCGACAGUGAGGGACGAAAGCCAGGGUCUCGAACCGGAUUAGAUACCCGGGUAGUCCUGGCUGUAAACAAUGUCUGCUAGGUGUGGCUCCCACUACGAGUGGGUGCUGUGCCGUAGGGAAGCCGCUAAGCAGACCGCCUGGGAAGUACGUCCGCAAGGAUGAAACUUAAAGGAAUUGGCGGGGGAGCACUACAACCGGAGGAGCCUGCGGUUUAAUUGGACUCAACGCCGGACAUCUCACCAGCAUCGACUGUGGUAAUGACGAUCAGGUUGAUGACCUUAUCCGAGCCUCAGAGAGGAGGUGCAUGGCCGCCGUCAGCUCGUACCGUGAGGCGUCCUGUUAAGUCAGGCAACGAGCGAGACCCGCACCCUUACUUGCCAGCAGUACCGCGAGGUAGCUGGGGACAGUAGGGGGACCGCCGUGGCUAACACGGAGGAAGGAACGGGCAACGGUAGGUCAGUAUGCCCCGAAUGUGCUGGGCAACACGCGGGCUACAAUGGUCGAGACAAAGGGUUCCUACUCCGAAAGGAGACGGUAAUCUCAGAAACUCGAUCGUAGUUCGGAUUGUGGGCUGCAACUCGCCCACAUGAAGCUGGAUUCGGUAGUAAUCGCGUGUCACAAGCGCGCGGUGAAUACGUCCCUGCUCCUUGCACACACCGCCCGUCAAAGCACCCGAGUGAGGUCCGGAUGAGGCGUUCCACGAAACGUCGAAUUCCU